UACGGAGGGUGCAAGCGUUAAUCGGAAUUACUGGGCGUAAAGGGUGCGUAGGCGGUUGUUUUAAGUCUGUUGUGAAAAUCCCCGGGCUCAACCUGGGAAUGGCAAUGGAUACUGGACAGCUAGAGUGUGUCAGAGGAUGGUGGAAUUCCCGGUGUAGCGGUGAAAUGCGUAGAGAUCGGGAGGAACAUCAGUGGCGAAGGCGGCCAUCUGGGACAACACUGACGCUGAAGCACG
rnacentral:rRNA from 1 species